GGAACAACUGCAGUCAGUCAGCCGAGAUAUGUGUUGCAUCAAGGCCAUCAGUGGAGAAUUGUCCCGAAAAGGAAAUACAUCAAAAUUUAGACAAAUAUGCGACAUCCUUUUCGGCACGGAGGGAUUAUAUGAAGUAUGAACUGGAUUCUAUCAUUGUUGAUUGCAAGGCUGCUAUCAACUGUCCGAUGCGGAAGAUCAUGGACAAGCAUCGCGAUGCCGUAAAAAGAGAUUUCCUGUUUCUACACAAUUAAACUAAAUUCAGAAUGCCGUAGUGUUUUCUUACUACAAUGAGUAUUUAGGAGCAUGCCAUUGAAUUCAAGAAUUCAUGUGUUCUGGUGCUGCUGACGGUUUGAUGGUUCUAGAGAUCUGUCAGUAAACGUAUUUUCAAAGUAUUUCAUUAAAUCGUGCUGCUCUUUGUAUCUGAAUCGAAUGGCAGUAGACAACCCACACUUUAGCAAUACUUUUUCCAGGCAUUUUUUUCGA